GAUCACUACACUAUCAUGCUCUACACUAACCAACCGUAGGAAAUGUCAAAUUUGACCCAAUCCAAUCGGGACUGUAGGCAUACCCGUCCCUGGGACUGUGAACACACCCGUUCCUGCCCAGUUGUGACUAUCCAGCUACCUCCACACUACUAGUCCGUGGAGAGCAAGUCCAACCGGCAUGAGCGACACCAACGCGAAAGCACAGCGCCCGUCUCUGGAGUGGCACUCGUGGGAGCUAUCCAACCGAGUAUGCAGCGUAUCUCUGUCGAGCUCAAUCAGGCUCUCAAAAGCCAAAGUCAAAUAACUGACUCACACUGGUCUAACAAGCAGCAGGUAACGUGCCCUCGGCACAAUCCGACGCCAAAUAGGCGAUACGGGUCCACCGUCAACCCCGACGGCACCCAACAGUCCGGAACAGCCUGAACACUACUGUAAAAAUACACUCGGCAUCCCAGCACGAGCGUAACUGAAAUCUAAACUCCCUGGGAUACUCACUAUGAGGAUACUGCAACAGUAUAAAUUAAUACAACGGCCCCUAGGGCUAAAUCAGGUAGUUAAGCAUAUGACGAUCAUAAUCGCGAGUUUUCUCCUAAGUCUCAUCCAAGUCCAACAUGUAUAUAUAUCCAAAGAUAAUAACCAAGGCUCCAAUUCAAAUUAUUAACCAUACUAAAUCAAUGAACCGACCAAUUGCGACACACAAAAUAAUUUCACGAAUACAUGUCGACUAUAUAGGCACUUAGGAGUAAACCGAUGAUUAACCCACCUUAAUCGCAAAUCCCCGACAGUGAAGAAGGUCACCGGAGUCCCUGUCAAGCUCGGCGCAGCUCCUCGAACCAGCGACAAUAACGCUCCACGGGUCUAAACAUAGAAGCCCACAAUAAACCUCAAAUCUGUCCAAAGCAAUAGCAGCAGAGAGAAAUAGGGAUACGACCAAGCUAACCUUUACAAAAUUCAGCAAUUAAAGGCUUCGUGGAUUCCACUCAAAGUCCUGAAUCCAAUGAACCAAGUUUCGUCACAAUCCGAAACUCCUACGUCGAGAUCGAGCCAAACGCCAACGGUCGACGCUGGAAAAUCUGCAAAUCAGCACUUAGCUCGAAUUUGAUGAUGCUUGGAAAUGAAGAAGCAAUUCGACGGAACACCCACCUUGAUAGCGACUAGCACCAGUGCGACGUCAAUAAUGGCGAAGAUCCACGCUCGCCCGACCUCCUUGCGAUGUAACGGUAGCAACCGUAUCCCCGAACGGCUCCGCGGUGUGACGUCGGCGACGAAAGCUCCAACCGAGCUCCUCCCUAGCCUACAAUCGGUUUGAGAGUGAGAGAGAGAGGAAGAAGAAGUAGAGGAACUUUCUCUCUCUCUCCACACAAGGUUAAAUAGAGAGAGGGAGAGCUGGUGACACAAAUGAGGCUCGAAAAGACUGAAAUGCCCCUCUACCUACCCAGGCGUACCGGUACACGGGCUGGAGUACCGGUACAAAGGCUAACCCGAGAGCAACCCGCGCGCAGCCUGAUGAAGUGUGUCGGUACACCUUGAUGGCUGUAACGGUACGGCAAGUAGAAAAACUGCUAUUUUGCAGAUUUUCUCGCCAAAUGCUACACUCGCGUCGCAGAGAGUCCGUUUUGCAUCUAUUUCACGCCAACGCGACUCGGAUUUGUCCCGACACUCUCCAGAGCUGUCGAUAAGCCUUCACAACGAACACCAGGGAUGUCACAUCCUUCCCCACUACAAAAAGUUUCGUCCUCGAAACUUAGCACAAACCUCAGCUCCGGGUAUCGAACAAAUAGGGAUAGGACUCCCUCAUGAUAGGACUCCCUUUGAGUGUACAGAUACUUGAGACUUUUAUGAUCGGUGAAAAUCUCGCAGUGCUCGCCAUAUAAGUAAUGUCGGCACAACUUCAAAGCAAAGACUACCGCGGCAAGCUCCAAGUCAUGCAUAGGGUACUUCUUCUCAUAAUCCUUGAACUGCCGUGAAGCAUAAGCAAUUACCCUACCAUGCUGCAUCAACACACAACCUAGUCCACUGUGCGAUGCAUCACUAUAGAUCACGAAUCCUUUCCCAAUCACAGGAAGGGCAAGGAUAGGAGCUGACGUCAACCUCAGUCUCAACUCAUCAAAGCUCCUCUAACAAUCCUCACUCCAGAUGAAUCUAAUCCCCUUUCGCGUCAAUCGAGUGAGAGGUGUGGAAAGCUUCGCAAAACCUUCCACAAACCGACGGUAAUAUCCUGCCAGUCCCAGGAAACUCCACACCUCAGUCACCGUCGUCGGUCUAGGCCAAUCUCGAAUCGCCCAAUCUUUUUCGGGUCCACUGCUACUCCCUCUGCAGAAAUCACGUGGCUCAAGAAAGCAACCUCCCGUAACCAGAACUCGCACUUCUUUAACUUGGCAUGUAACUUCUUUUCUCGCAGAAGUUAUAGCACAAUCCUCAAGUGCUCCUCAUGCUCGGCAUCACUCCGGGAAUAUAUCAAGAUGUCGUCGAUGAAGACUACCACAAAUCUAUCCAAGAACGGCUUGAACACUCUGUUCAUCAAAUCCAUGAAUGCGGCAGGAGCAUUCGUCAAUCCAAAAGGCAUCACCGUGAACUCAUAAUGUCCGUACCGAGUCCGAAAAGCCGUCUUGGGAACAUCCUCNAUCAAUCACAAACUCAAUCUCCCUCUCCGGCGGCAACAAAGUCAACUCAGGGGGAAACACAUCCGAAAACUCGCGGACUACAGGGAUAUCCUCGAGUCCCGGCGCCGCCGUAGGUACCUCCACAACUGUCGCUAGGAAAGCGACAUAUCCACUACUCAGCAUUUGUCAAGCCCUCGCCGAAGAUAUCCAGGUGGCAAACAACGUGCUGCUGCAGCCUCUGAAAGUGUACUCCUCCUGGCCUGGCUCAGGGAACGUCACUGUCCUCGCUCCAUAAUCGAUCGUAGCAUAGUACCGCGCCAGCCAAUCCAUACAGAGCACAACGUCGAAGUCCUGCAGCUGCCCUAGCACCGACAGGUCUGCGGGCAUGACUCACGAAUCCAACUGCACCGGACAUGACCAACAACACUCCGCAACCUGUAACACAUGGUCGGGGAUCUGCACCUCUCAUGCCUGUGACAAUGCCCCUAACUCUAGACCAUGUAACAAUACAAAUGCUCGGCUAACAAAAGAAUGCGAGGCUCCGGUAUCAAAAAGAGUACGAGUACGAAUGCCGGAAAUCAAAGUGAUACCUGCCACCACUCGGUCGGUUGCUGUAGAGUCCUCCACCUGAGCUACGUAGACUCUGCCACUCGGAGCCUGCUGUCGCCGCUCACCCUGACGCGACACAGACGAUCUGUCCUCCUGGUGGUAACUCGGUGCUGCUCCGUAAGGCUGCUAGGGUGCUGGUCAGGCUGAAGCUGAUGCUGGUGCUGGAGAUGCUACUCGGGGACAAGCUACCCUCAUAUGUCCCGGCUGACCACACCAGUAGCAGCGGCCCUCCCUCUGCUCACACUAUCGGGGCCAGUGUGGUCCCCCGCAGAUCACACACUACGGUGUCCUCUGAGUCUUUCCCUGCUGACGGAAUCCUCUGGAACGCUGAUGCCCCGAAGACCCACGACCCUGAGAGCAUGAUCGUGGAGGCCUCGGCGGGCAUCUGCUGCUCAGCUGUCCUUCGUCAUCUGGAAAGAGGCGCUUCCUGUCCUGACCCUGCCCCACGGCCUGAGUCCUCUCCUAAAGCGACACCUCACCUCUCUCCACCCAUAAGGCCUGCUCUAUGGACGCAUCCAGGGUCCUCAACCUAUGCGUCCGCACCAACCUGAAGAUAUCGUGUCUCAGCCCCUGCUCAAAUAAAUAGACCCUGUGUGCCUCGUCCUUAGCCACAAAUGGCACACAGUUCAGGAGUCGAGUAAACUCCCGAAUAUACUCCUGCACUGGACGAUCCCCCUGUUGGAUCCUCUUCAAAUCCUCCUCGAGCUUCUGUUUCACACUGUUGGGAAAGAACAUCCCAAACAGCAUUCCACAGAUCUCAUCCCAUCUCAGCUGCAACGCUACCAGUCCCUGCUCUCUCCUCACUCUCCUCCACCAAGCGUGGGCAUCACCUGCCAAGCAAUGGACUCCCAAAGACACCUGCUCCCCCUCAGGAAUGAACAGAUCCUCAAAUAACUUCUCCAUCGCACUGACCCAUCCCUCAACAACCCAGGCCUCAGUGCAACUGCCAUCGAAAAUCGGUGGAUCAAAACGGCGAAAGCGAGCCAACCUCUCCGUCCACCUCUCCUGCUCGGCCUCUGACAACUGUACUGGCCCCCUCGCAGGCGCAACUGGCACUACAAGAACUGCUGCUGGCGGAGGAACUGCUGCAGCUGGUGCUGUCACUGGAGUAGUCGGGGGUGGAACUGGCGACUCUGGUGCCUUCGGUACUGAACUCUGGGGCGCAACCAACCUCUCGCACAUCCUCUCCAACAACUCCCCCUGUCGUCUCGUCACCUCAGUCAAGGCAGCUAACUGUGCACUCAAGUCCGGGGAUGUACUCGCCUCCGGCCGAACACUCUGCUCCUGUCGGGCACUUGGCUCCACAUGCUCAGGCAUCUCGGAAGGUCCCGCACGAUCCUGCGACAACUGAGCACGCUUCCGUAACGACGGUCGACCUCGGCGACGAUACAUAGUUGUAAAGAACAAAACAGGGGUCAGAUACAACAAAACACUCUUGACCCAAUCAAACGAAAAGUCUAGAAGGCGGUCCCUGUUUUCCUUCAAAAUUAUGUUGUCUGCAGCCAACAUAAUUUCUCAGACCAAAACAUACACUCCUUCAAUCACUCACCCCACUCUAGGAGGAGUUAGAACAAUUAAUCAUUGACUUUCGGAAUAAAUUACGCCUCUCGCGUCUUACCUUCCUAAGGUUUGCCAAACUUAGGUUUUCUAGGUCCUGACGACCUAAUGCUAAGCUCUGAUACCAACUUAAUCUGUCACGCCCCAGAUUACACGUUCCCCGGGUACGUCGACAAAUCCGCCGUAUACAAAAGAAUUUUUCCUGUAUACGAAGCGACAACUGUACCUGUAAACCAUACAAUACUACAAACAGUAGUAUAGAGCUGCUAGAGUAAACAGAAGCUAACUAAACGGAGUUCCAUAUACAUAGUCAAAUACCAAAAAUACAGAGCUACUCGCAUUGGUGAGUUAAGUAUACUAUGUACAUGAACUCAAAACAAAACAUCUACCUGUAUGUCUGCAACCACGAAUGACAUACCUCGCACGGUUGAUCUUAUUUUGAAUUUCCCGUGGGGUAGUAUUCAUGAUUCAGAUUAAUAUUUAAUUAUAUAUGAUUAUCCGGUAUUGUGGAUUCAUGGCUUCCAAUAAACGCAAGCGUCUAUUGUUAAUUACCCCUUUAAAGUGUUAGGGCACCUUUGAUUAAAAGACCUAUGUAAUGCUGAAGUAGACUGAAAUUGAAUAAAAGGUGGAUUUUAUAACAUAAUCCAUUGUAUAGUUACAUGGCUUAACCAGGGGCAUACCCCCAGUGUACAUGAAUGAAUAUGACGGUUGAUUGAACUUGAUUCUGAAUCAAAGUGUAUGAUCAAAUUGAUUUGAUUGGGCUCUAUAUGUUUCAGUGCUCAACAAUAUUGUUCACCCUAAGGUGAGGGAUUGAUUAAAUUCCAUGUAUAUGCAUUGGGACUUAAUCGGAUUUGAUUCAAAUUAAACCCUAGUUAGGUGCAUUAGAGUUUGAUUUGAUUAAAUUGAUUUAAGCUUUCAUCCUAAAUGUAUGUGUUAGGAUUAGCCCAAAUAUUUCGAAUUAGACUCUAAUUUUAUAUCUUAGAGUCUAGUGUAAUUAAGCUCUAUGCUUAUAUGUUAGAGCUUAAUUACACCUCACAUUGAGUUCACCAUAAGGCGAAAUAUUAACUAAAUCCUAAUUAUAUAUAUUAGGAUUAGUCGAAAUUUGAUUUAAAUUAAACUCUAAGUGUAUGUAUUAGAGUCUAAUUUAGUUUCAUUUGGGUUCACCAUGAGGUGAAAUAUCAACUAAAUCCUAAUUAUAUAUAUUAGGAUUAGUCAAAAUUUAAAUUAAACUCUAAGUGUAUGUAUUAGAGUCUAAAUCAACUAAAUCCUAAUUAUAUAUUAGGAUUAGUCAAAUAUAAUUUAAAUUAAACUCUAAGUGUAUGUAUUAGAGUCUAAUUUGGGUUCACCAUGAGGUGAAAUAUCAAUUAAAUCCUGGUUACAUAUAUUAGGAUUAGUCAAAUGUAAUUUAAAUUAAACUCUAAGUGUAUGUAUUAGAGUCUAAUUUGGAUUCACCAUGAGGUGAAAUAUCAACUAAAUCCUAGUUAUAUAUAUUAGGAUUAGUCAAAAUUAAACUCUAUGUGUAUGUAUUAGAGUCUAAUUCAAUUCCAUUUAUUUGAACUCUAAGUAAAUGUAUUAGAGUUCAAUUGAACUGAUUAGGUGAAACCUAAUAGAUGGUUUGAUCAAUUCUAAACAAAUAUUUUAGAAUUUGACCUAAUAUGAAUGUGAUAACAAUAUGACUCUAGCUUAAUAUGCUAGAGAAUUGGAUUAAAAAGAUUUGCCCUUAACAAAUUGGUAGAGCUUGGUUUCAUAUUUGAUCUGAUAGGCAUGAUUUAAGGUCUUGGUUUGGGUUAGAUUUUUGGGUUUGAUGUUGGUCUGAAUUGGUUUUCAAUUUAGAUUUUAUUCGAUUUGGGCAUUUUUAUGAACCAGUUUGGAAUUCAAACUUGGGCUAGGUAUAGCUUCAAGUUCUGGUUCAGUUCUCGGAUGGAUUCAUUCAUGGUCCAAAUUUGGGUCCAUAUAGUUGCAUUCAAACAUGGACUAGAUUCAGGCCUACAUGGUAUGGACUCAAGUUGAGGCCUGAAUUAAAUUUUAAGUUCUGGAUAUAGGCAUAGGCCCAGUUUAGGCCCAUUUAAUAUGGAUUCAGGUUGAGGCUUGAAUUAUAUGUGGGCUUGGGCUCAAUUUAGGCCCGUAUGGCAUAAGUCCAAAUUUUCUUUUAAGCAAGCCAUAGAAUUGGGCCCAGAUUUAUAUUUCGGCUGAACUUGGGUCAUGUUGAGCUUGGGUUAUGAGAUUUGAGGUGAGAACGGGCUUGGUCCAUUGUUUUGAGGUGGUUAAUUUGAGAUCAUAUGAGAUUGUAAGAUUCAGAAUCAAAUUCAUCGCUUAAAAAUUUCGAAUGCAUUUUUUUAUUUGUCAAAUUCUCAGUCAUUAAUCACAUAAAAUGUUCAAUGCAAUCUCAAUUUGGUCUAAUUUUGGCCAAAUCGAAAUAUUCAACUUUGGAUAGAAUCAAAGAGUUCGAUUAUUUUUCGAACAUCCCACAGUUCUUCCAAUAAAAGGGCGAUCAAAAGAAUAUUAAUCGAUAACCCGAUUAAUUUUCUUUUGUCUCCUCAUUAUAGGAGAAUUAAGAGAGAAUUUUUCUCUUUAUCUCCUUUAAAAAUACAAGACAACAAAGAUAGAUAAUUCUUCUUUGUCUCUUUUACAUUCAUGGAACAACUAAGGUGGGAAAAUCCCUUCCUUGCCUCCCUUUUUGUAACAAAGCUCCCUCUCUCUUUCAUAAUUAGAGAAGUAAUAUCUCUCUCUCUUUUGAUAAUAUUUUUUGCAAAGAGAAGAGCACCGCUCUCUCCCUCUUUCGAUGAUGCUAUAUCAUUUGUAAAGAGAAGAGCACCGCUCUUUCUCUUUUAAUAACACAUUUUUUAUAAAGAGAAGAGCACCGCUCUUUCUCUAAGUUCGCUGUCGAAAGAUAUGUCUCGGGCAUUCCGUCAAACAAUUGAUGGACGUGAACAGAUGAGGUUGUCGGGCUUCAACUCGUCGGGGCCGUUGAUGAUGACCAUGAACAGCGUGUCGCUUUGCACCUCUACGCUGCUCGAUGGCUGCCAGUUCCAAAGAAAUCGGCGAGGAUGAUCUCCGCAGCGAGCCCCGCGAGCUAGGAAGUCGUGACGCCAACGCAGACCUUCUGGGCGACAAGCACGGGGUCGCAGUGCUCCUGGCUCAGCCCACAACUCAGCUUCUUCAGCCUCGCCAUGAUCUUGUCAAAGUAGACCGACUCUUGCCGCCCGUCUCGUUUCGUUUGGGAAUUUCGUCGAACAGGUGGAGGGGGUGGAGAUAUGUAGAUGGAGACGCGGCGGAGCUCGGUGGAGACGCGGUGGAGAUGCAGCGGCUUCGGUGGAGACGCGGCGCAGAUGCGGCGGCUUCGGUGGAGAUGCGGAGGUGCUCAGCGGAGCUUGGUGAAGACGCGGAGGCACUCAGCGGAGCUUGGUGAAGACGCGGCGGCGCUCAGCGGAGCUCGGUGGAGCUCGGCGGAGACACGGGGGCGCUCAGCGGAGCUCGGUGGUGCUCGGCGGAGGUGUUGACGAACUUGGCGUCACGGCCCGUCGAGUAGGUCGCAGGCGAGGGCGAUCUCGAACCCGGCGGUGACGGCGAAUCUGGCGACGGCGCUGGCGAUGGGCUUGCGGCACGCAGCCAUGGCAGCGACAGGGUCGGCGGCGGGGUCUUUGACGUCGCCCUUGAAGACGUUCUCGACGGCGGUGAGGUCGACGCCGGAGCAGAAGGCGCGGCUGCGCCUGGCGAGGACCACGGCGGAUCUAUGGGGUCGCCGCUCCACUUGAGCAUUUCGUCGAGCACCUUGUCGGAGGCGAGCUCGCCCGUGGCGUUGUAGUAGUUUUGCUUCAGGGUCUCCUUGUGGUCGGAGAGGAUGGCGUCGCGAAGCUUCGCCCGGAUCCCGUGGGUGACCGAAACCCUAGUGCGGUGGACGGAGGUCCCCGCAGGGAAGCGCGGGGAGAGGGCGCGGUUCGCGGCGUUGGAGUCGUCGAGGGCUUCAAGCUGCGCCUUGAUGGAGUGGGCGGUGCGGAGGAUCGCGGCGAAGCUCGGUGGAGCUCGGCGGAGGCGCUUGGCGUCUUCGGCGUGGAGGAGGGAGAAGAGGAGGUGGGCGCUCAUUUCAGAGAGAGAGAGAGAGAGAGAGAGAGAUCUGAGAUCUUUUACUUCUCUUUUCUUUUUUUCUUUUUUUUUUUUUUUAGGAGGGAGAGAGAGAGCUUUGUCAUUGAUUGAUGCUACAUCAAUGGAAAAACUACCUUUUUUUUUCUUCUUUCGUGAACAGGGGAAUAGUAUGGGUUUUUUUUUUGUUAGGAAUAGGUUUGAGAAUUCAAAAACUGUGUCCUCGCUUUCUUUUCUCAUUGAGAGAUAUUUAUGGGACUAGUCUAACUACCCGGGAGAACGUGCGUAUGGACGUGCGUAUGGUGAGGUUUGUGGGAAGUUACGAUGUAGGAUCAUGGGAUCAUGGAUAUUAAAUUGCAUAUUAGUCCUUCCCAUUUGUUUAUAUUAUACCUUAGUUAAAAUAACAGAAUAUUAUAUGUUUGAAGGAGCAUCUUACAAAUAUAUGAAAGGGAAAGGACUAAUUUGCUAUUUGUAAUACCCAUUCAUGCCUACGAGAACAUCCCACUUUUUGUAAUCUAUGCACCUGGUGCAUGGAUUAACCUAUGCACCAAGUUCAAAAUUUGAACUCAAAUUUCUCCAUGCACCUAGUGCAUGGAUCAUCUCAUACACCAUUAUUCAAAUUUUUUUUCUUUCUACCUUUUUUCUUUCUCCUUUUUUUUUUUUCUCCUUCUUCUUCUUCUUCUUUUUUAUGCUUCAACACUGUAGUAGGGGCACCUCUAGCUCGGCACGUCUGGUAGGGCUCUAACUCGUGACGCCUUUGCCUCGAUCCAGAUCUGCGACAGCAGCAGCCGACGACGAUGGCUCUGCAAAAACAGGGGGUAACAACAGGGCGUGAGAACUACUGUAAAAACAGGUAGUCCUCAAUGGGUGCCGCCAUCAACAUCAUCGGUCCACCCACUAAGUCUACAGAAGGGAGCAAAGAUAGUAGUAAAUGUAGGAGUAAAAUCUACCGCUAUGGAUCACUACACUAUCAUGCUCUACACUAACCAACUGUAGGAAAUGUCAAAUCUGACCCAAUCCAAUCGGGACUGUAGGCAUACCCGUCCCUGGGACUGUGAACACACCCGUUUCUACCCAGUUGUGACUAUCCAGCUACCUCCACAUUACUAGCCGUGGAGAGCAAGUCCAACCGGCAUGAGCGACACCAACGCGAAAGCACAGCGCCCGUCUCCGGAGUGGCACUCGUGGGAGCUACCCAACCGAGUAUGCAGCGUAUCUCUGUAGAGCUCAAUCAGGCUCUCAAAAGCCAAAGUCAAAUAACCGACUCAAACUGGUCUAACAACCAACAGGUAACGUGCUCUCGGCACAAUCUGACGCCAAAUAGGCGAUACGGGUCCACCGUCAACCCCCACAGCACCCAACAGUCCGGAACAGGAUGAACGCUACUGUAAAAAUACACUCGGCAUCCCAGCACGAGCGUAACUAAAAUCUAAACUAUCUG
rnacentral:lncRNA from 1 species